GAGACAAGCAUAUGACUACUGGCAGGAUCAACCAGGUAGCGUUCCGCCCGCGACGCCUGCGCCCGCACGGGGGACCCCGAGACGGGCGCGCCCGUCGUUCGUAUCGAUGCGUGGCUGCGGGCGGGCGGAGGCCGAGAGACCCCCGCGCCCGCGCGUCACGUUCCGCAUCCGAGAGCACGGGCGAGACGCCCCGCGUGCCCGGGCGGACACGCCCGCGAGGGGCCGCGACUUGCCGGGAACGCGAGGCGCGCCUAGCGUCCGCCCCGCACGCCUCGAGGGCGCGGGGCGGAGAGGGACAACGGGACCGUCGAAUUCCCUUCGUUGGGUAAGCAACACAGGAUACCGAA
rnacentral:misc_RNA from 1 species